rnacentral:rRNA from 1 species
UGGGGAAUAUUGGACAAUGGGCGAAAGCCUGAUCCAGCCAUGCCGCGUGUGUGAAGAAGGCCUUAUGGUUGUAAAGCACUUUAAGCGAGGAGGAGGGUACUGGUAUUAAUACUACCAGGUACUGGACGUUACUCGCAGAAUAAGCACCGGCUAACUCUGUGCCAGCAGCCGCGGUAAUACAGAGGGUGCGAGCGUUAAUCGGAUUUACUGGGCGUAAAGCGUGCGUAGGCGGCUAAUUGAGUCGGAUGUGAAAUCCCCGAGCUUAACUUGGGAAUUGCAGUCGAUACUGGUUAGCUAGAGUGUGGGAGAGGAUGGUAGAAUUCCACGUGUAGCGGUGAAAUGCGUAGAGAUCUGGAGGAAUACCGAUGGCGAAGGCAGCCAUCUGGCCUAACACUGACGCUGAGGUACGAAAGCAUGGGGAGCAAACAGG